UGUGUUGAAACUGUGUAUCAAUCGAAGC
rnacentral:piRNA from 1 species